AUCCGGCUGACGAGUCCCACACAGGAUGAGACACGCGUCCUGUAU
rfam:Schistosoma curassoni strain Dakar, Senegal genome assembly, scaffold: SCTD_scaffold0003681